CACCAUUUUUUAACUAUUCGUUUUGUCUUCCUCUUUCGGGAACGAUGCCUUGAAGGUUCGGUGGAAAGUCGAUGGACACGAACAGCACACAACGCAAUGGCGGGGGAUAAAUGUGGGAGGAGCCUAUUUUGUUCUUGCAGACGACAACAAAGAACACCAGCUUUUGACUUUCUCCCCUCUUUUUUUAUUUAAUUAUUUAUCUAGAAACGAAAUGGAUUGACGCAAUAAGCGUACUCGCCACAAGAAAUAUGUCUCAACGCGCAUGUCGACUGUUGUGAAGGGCUAAUAACUAAAACGUGGUCCAUGAAAGUUUUCCCAAUUCUGUUGGCUGUGGACGACCUCGUGUGCAGCUUUACACGCGUGGUAGAUCGUACAACUGGUAACAUUAUCAAAGCAAUCGAUAUAUCGUGUGGAACAGACAGGAAAUAAAAGUUGGGACUUAAAAUUCAUGCCAACCUCCGUCACUGUGAAAAGGACAAACACGCACUAGUUCAAUUACAAAACGGUGUCUCUAUGACGGAGGUGGAGAAUCAUGGCACGCCGUCGUGUUAUUGUCUGCACGUUACGACAGCGAAAUGGGGUGCUGAUGGGCGCAACGUAUGGUGAGGGGAAGGCACUGUUGCAUUUUCAAAUAGCCAACGGAAGUUCCGACUCUACACUUCCGCUCGUUCAAUACUAUUACACCUGUGCAUCAGACGAGACUGUGUGGCUCGUUAAGUCCGGUUCGUUGUUUUUUUUGUGUGUUAAAUUUAGUGACCUAGAAAACCACACCAAAACACUAACGGGAAAUGAGACAAUGCACAGGAAAAUUCGUUGAUUCGACACAGCAUUCCAUCAUUACGUAUAGGAAAUGAAAAAUUGGGAAUUUGUGAAAAAUGGCGCCUCCGUUAUGCAAAUAUUGAAAAUGUACACAGGCAAACAAAACGGUUUUAUACUUUCACGCAGAUCCGAAAAACAAAAGAAUAUAACGUUUCGGUUGGAAAUGUGGAGUGAGGAUCAAAUGAGGCGAAGCAUGUACACAGGUAUACAUUCACACACCGAUGCAUUCAAAUCAUAUACCAAUAGUUUCACCAAUUUCUAUCAAACAAACAUCAAUUGCCAAUAUUUUCUUUCCUUCUUCGUUAUAUUGGAUAGUAAAAACUUUCUGAACAAUGUAAUACUUCAUGAGAAACACACGCUAUCACACACACACGGGCACCGACAUCUUGUUUCUCUAAAAAACACAGGACGUCUGCCAAUAGACACGACAAUUUGCAUUUAAAAUCGAUAUUUUUCGUUUAGUUCGUAAAUUAAAAAGGGGGAAGACAAAAAUUACAUUUGGAUUGAUGUUAUGUGCAUUCACAUUUGACACGAUUAAAAGAAAGUGAAAUAAUAAAACAAACAGG